rnacentral:rRNA from 1 species
AUGGAGGUGGUGAAGAGCCUCCUGAAGCCGAAGUCGACACCGCAGCAGCAGCUGCGCGAGUGGCAGCGCCGCCUCCGCAGGGCCGCAACAUCGAGCGCCAGAUCCAAGGUUCCCCUCCCCUCCCUCCCCGAUUCGAUCCAAUUUAGGGCUCUAGGCCUUCAAUUGGUUGCUGAUUUUUGGUUUUGGGGCCGGUGCGCAGACGUGCAGAAGGAGGAGAAGAAGGUGGAGAAGGCCAUCCGGGACGCCGCCAAGGCGCUGGCCAAGGAGCUGGUGCAGUCCAGGAAGGCGGUCAACCACCUCUACGAGAACAAUGCCCAGCUCAACUCCAUCUCCAUGCACCUCGGUAAGAUCGUCGUCAAAUGUGCUUCCUUUCUGAACAACUGUGCACCUUGUAAGACACGUGGUAUGGGAGCUGGGCGCAAGCUCAAGACCCACCGCUGGAACCAGAGGUGGGCUAACCAGGCAUACAAGAAGAGCGACUUGGGCAAUGAGUGGAAGAAACCCUUCGCUGGAUCUAUACAUCAGCUCCCAUGA